rnacentral:lncRNA from 1 species
AAUCCUUCUUUAUUCUUUGCCAUCUUAUCAUAAAAAAAUUCACAAACAAAUACAUACACCACAUUCAAGCUUCGUGAGCUUGAGGUAAUUUUUAAAAUAAAAUUUUAGCUCACUUCUAUAGCUUCGAUACAUCAGUUAUUAAUUCCCAGAAUAUAUGUAGAAACAUGUUCUUACAUGUUCAUGGAAAAUACAACAUGAUUUUAUCAAUCCUUAGAAUUUGUGCAUUAAAAUAAACAAUUAAUUCUUUUUUUGUUUUUUUAUUUAUUUUUA